UACGAAGGGAGCUAGCGUUGUUCGGAAUCACUGGGCGUAAAGCGCACGUAGGCGGAUGUGUCAGUCAGGGGUGAAAUCCCGGAGCUCAACUUCGGAACUGCCUCUGAUACAGCACGUCUUGAGUCCGGAAGAGGUGGGUGGAAUUCCUAGUGUAGAGGUGAAAUUCGUAGAUAUUCGCAAGAACACCAGUGGCGAAGGCGGCUCACUGGCCCGAUACUGACGCUGAGGCACGAAAGCGUGGGGAGCAAACAGG
rnacentral:rRNA from 1 species